rnacentral:rRNA from 1 species
GGCCGGGCUGAGAGGUUGAACGGCCACAUUGGGACUGAGACACGGCCCAAACUCCUACGGGAGGCAGCAGUAGGGAAUUUUCGGCAAUGGAGGAAACUCUGACCGAGCAACGCCGCGUGAACGAUGAAGUAUUUCGGUACGUAAAGUUCUUUUAUUAGGGAAGAAUAAAUGAUGGAAAAAUCAUUCUGACGGUACCUAAUGAAUAAGCCCCGGCUAACUAUGUGCCAGCAGCCGCGGUAAUACAUAGGGGGCAAGCGUUAUCCGGAAUUAUUGGGCGUAAAGGGUGCGUAGGCGGUUAAAUAAGUUUAUGGUCUAAGUGCAAUGCUCAACAUUGUGAUGCUAUAAAAACUGUUUAGCUAGAGUAAGAUAGAGGCAAGUGGAAUUCCAUGUGUAGUGGUAAAAUGCGUAAAUAUAUGGAGGAACACCAGUAGCGAAGGCGGCUUGCUGGGUCUUUACUGACGCUGAGGCACGAAAGCGUGGGGAGCAAACAGGAUUAGAUACCCUGGUAGUCCACGCCGUAAACGAUGAGUACUAAACGUUGGGUAAAACCAGUGUUGAAGUUAACACAUUAAGUACUCCGCCUGAGUAGUACGUACGCAAGUAUGAAACUUAAAGGAAUUGACGGGACUCCGCACAAGCGGUGGAUCAUGUUGUUUAAUUCGAAGGUACCCGAAAAACCUCACCAGGUCUUGACAUGCUUCUGCAAAGCUGUAGAAACACAGUGGAGGUUAUCAGUUGCACAGGUGGUGCAUGGUUGUCGUCAGCUCGUGUCGUGAGAUGUUGGGUUAAGUCCCGCAACGAGCGCAACCCUUAUUGUUAGUUACCAGCACGUAAUGGUGGGGACUUUAGCAAGACUGCCAGUGAUAAAUUGGAGGAAGGUGGGGACGACGUCAAAUCAUCAUGCCCCUUAUGACCUGGGCUACAAACGUGAUACAAUGGCUGUUACAAAGGGUAGCUGAAGCGCAAGUUUUUGGCGAAUCUCAAAAAAACAGUCUCAGUUCGGAUUGAA